CAGCACAACUGAAAAGCAGGGGCUCCUGCUGGAGGCCACACUGACGACCCCAAGGACUGUAGGAAGGAAACAAGUGGUUGAGUUCUGGCAGCACGCUGGCGCAACUUAAUCCAAGCCUGCAAAUUAAAAAAAGUUUUAUGGGGAAUCCUGGAUGUUGUACAAGAAAAACGGCGGUGCUUACUGAUUUUUAUCUGCUGAAAAGAUGUGCGUCUCAGUGUUUGCUAAUUUCUCACCUGGUAAACGCAGCAGGGGUGUUGAGGUGGUGAAACAGAGCCGGCUCACACACGAGGGAGGACCGCCGGCACGCACUCACACAGGAC